GCCAGCAACUAGCUCUCUGCAACUCUCACAUGGUCGCCCACUGAAGCUAAGCAGGGCUGCGCCCGGUCAGUACAAGGAUGGGAGACCACAUGGGAAAGCUGGGUUGCUGUUGGAA
rnacentral:rRNA from 1 species